rnacentral:misc_RNA from 1 species
GAGUUCAUGCCCGAAAGGGUAGACCUCCACCCUUGUGUAUUAUUACUUUGUUGCUCUGGCGAGCUGCCUUCGGGCCUUGUAUUCUCGCCAGAGAAUAUCAAAACUCUUUUUAUUAAUGUCGUCUGAGUACUAUAUAAUAGUUAGAACUUUCAACAACGGAUCUCUUGGUUCU